rnacentral:rRNA from 1 species
GAUGAACGCUGGCGGCGUGCCUAAUACAUGCAAGUCGAGCGAACGGACGAGAAGCUUGCUUCUCUGAUGUCAGCGGCGGACGGGUGAGUAACACGUGGAUAACCUACCUAUAAGACUGGGAUAACUUCGGGAAACCGGAGCUAAUACCGGAUGAUAUUUUGAACCGCAUGGUUCAAAAGUGAAAGACGGUCUUGCUGUCACUUAUAGAUGGAUCCGCGCUGCAUUAGCUAGUUGGUAAGGUAACGGCUUACCAAGGCAACGAUGCAUAGCCGACCUGAGAGGGUGAUCGGCCACACUGGAACUGAGACACGGUCCAGACUCCUACGGGAGGCAGCAGUAGGGAAUCUUCCGCAAUGGGCGAAAGCCUGACGGAGCAACGCCGCGUGAGUGAUGAAGGUCUUCGGAUCGUAAAACUCUGUUAUUAGGGAAGAACAUGUGUGUAAGUAACUGUGCACAUCUUGACGGUACCUAAUCAGAAAGCCACGGCUAACUACGUG